CCGAGCUGUGUGAUGUCACUUUCCUUGUUGGCAAAGAUCAAGUUCCGGUUCAUGGGGUCAAGGCCAUUCUAGCAACACGUAGCAGGUCUUUAUAUCAACUGGUCCUACACCAUCAGAGACAGUUGGAACUGACAAAGACUGCCAAGAAGAGAUUCAAGAAACAAAAACCCUCUCCCUACCCGAACACGCUCGUCAUCCACGUCCCUGACUACCAGGUGGAGACAUUCAGAAGGUUCAUCACCUUUGUCCAUUCGGGCAAGGUCAAGGUCGACGUCAACCACGUUGACGGUCUUCUUUGCGCAUCAGAAGAGUUCCGACUUCCUGAUCUCCGCACUGCUUGCACGGAUUUCAUAGACAGAUGUCAAGGUCAUGGACAGAUAGAAAACCUCAGAGCAACAGCCAGGCAGUAUCC